rnacentral:tRNA from 1 species
ACGGGCGUAGCUCAAUCGGCAGAGCACCGGCCUCCAAAGCCGCGACGCGCGGGUUCGAAUCCUGCCGCCCGUG